rnacentral:rRNA from 1 species
GAGUUUGAUCGUGGCUCAGAACGAACGCUGGCGGCAGGCUUAACACAUGCAAGUCGAACGCCCCGCAAGGGGAGUGGCAGACGGGUGAGUAACGCGUGGGAACGUACCUUUCGCUUCGGAAUAGUCCCGGGAAACUGGGUUUAAUGCCGGAUACGCCGUAUUGGGAAAGAUUUAUCGGCGAAAGAUCGGCCCGCGUUAGAUUAGCUAGUUGGCGGUGUAAUGGACCACCAAGGCGACGAUCUAUAGCUGGUCUGAGAGGAUGAUCAGCCACACUGGGACUGAGACACGGCCCAGACUCCUACGGGAGGCAGCAGUGGGGAAUCUUGGACAAUGGGCGCAAGCCUGAUCCAGCCAUGCCGCGUGAGUGAAGAAGGCCUUAGGGUUGUAAAACUCUUUCGCCGGAGAAGAUAAUGACGGUAUCCGGAGAAGAAGCCCCGGCUAACUCCGUGCCAGCAGCCGCCGUAAC